rnacentral:rRNA from 1 species
GAGUUUGAUCGUGGCUCAGGAUGAACGCUAGCUACAGGCUUAACACAUGCAAGUCGAGGGGAACGAUAGAGAAAGCUUGCUUUUCUAGGCGUCGACCGGCGCACGGGUGAGUAACACGUAUGCAACCUGCCCGUCACAGGGGGAUAAUCGAGAGAAAUCUCGUCUAAUACCGCAUACACUCUUCGGGAGGCAUCUUCGGGAGAGGAAAGAUUAAUUGGUGACGGAUGGGCAUGCGGGACAUUGGCUAGUUGGUGAGGUAACGGCUCACCAAGUCGACGAUCAGUAGCCGGACUGAGAGGUUGAACGGCCACAUUGGGACUGAGAUACGGCCCAGACUCCUACGGGAGGCAGCAGUGGGGAAUAUUGCACAAUGGGGGAAACCCUGAUGCAGCAACGCCGCGUGAAGGAAGACGGUUUUUCGGAUUGUAAACUCCUGUCGUUAGGGACGAUAAUGACGGUACC